AUUGAACGCUGGCGGCAGGCUUAACACAUGCAAGUCGAACGAUGACUAGCUAGCUUGCUAGUUAUGAUUAGUGGCGGACGGGUGAGUAACAUUUAGGAAUCUGCCUAGUAGUGGGGGAUAGCUCGGGGAAACUCGAAUUAAUACCGCAUACGACCUACGGGUGAAAGGGGGCGCAAGCUCUUGCUAUUAGAUGAGCCUAAAUCAGAUUAGCUAGUUGGUGGGGUAAAGGCCUACCAAGGCGACGAUCUGUAACUGGUCUGAGAGGAUGAUCAGUCACACCGGAACUGAGACACGGUCCGGACUCCUACGGGAGGCAGCAGUGGGGAAUAUUGGACAAUGGGGGCAACCCUGAUCCAGCCAUGCCGCGUGUGUGAAGAAGGCCUUUUGGUUGUAAAGCACUUUAAGCAGGGAAGAGAGGCUAAUGGUUAAUACCCAUUAGAUUAGACGUUACCUGCAGAAUAAGCACCGGCUAACUCUGUGCCAGCAGCCGCGGUAAUACAGAGGGUGCGAGCGUUAAUCGGAAUUACUGGGCGUAAAGCGAGUGUAGGUGGCUCAUUAAGUCACAUGUGAAAUCCCCGGGGCUUAACCUGGGAACUGCAUGUGAUACUGGUGGUGCUAGAAUAUGUGAGAGGGAAGUAGAAUUCCAGGUGUAGCGGUGAAAUGCGUAGAGAUCUGGAGGAAUACCGAUGGCGAAGGCAGCUUCCUGGCAUAAUAUUGACACUGAGAUUCGAAAGCGUGGGUAGCAAACAGGAUUAGAUACCCUGGUAGUCCACGCCGUAAACGAUGUCUACUAGCCGUUGGGGUCCUUGAGACUUUAGUGGCGCAGUUAACGCGAUAAGUAGACCGCCUGGGGAGUACGGCCGCAAGGUUAAAACUCAAAUGAAUUGACGGGGGCCCGCACAAGCGGUGGAGCAUGUGGUUUAAUUCGAUGCAACGCGAAGAACCUUACCUGGUCUUGACAUAGUGAGAAUCCUGCAGAGAUGCGGGAGUGCCUUCGGGAAUUCACAUACAGGUGCUGCAUGGCUGUCGUCAGCUCGUGUCGUGAGAUGUUGGGUUAAGUCCCGCAACGAGCGCAACCCUUUUCCUUAUUUGCCAGCGGGUUAAGCCGGGAACUUUAAGGAUACUGCCAGUGACAAACUGGAGGAAGGCGGGGACGACGUCAAGUCAUCAUGGCCCUUACGACCAGGGCUACACACGUGCUACAAUGGUAGGUACAGAGGGUUGCUACACAGCGAUGUGAUGCUAAUCUCAAAAAGCCUAUCGUAGUCCGGAUUGGAGUCUGCAACUCGACUCCAUGAAGUCGGAAUCGCUAGUAAUCGCAGAUCAGAAUGCUGCGGUGAAUACGUUCCCGGGCCU
rnacentral:rRNA from 1 species